rnacentral:rRNA from 1 species
CAGCAGCCGCGGGAAUACGGAGGGAGCUAGCGUUGUUUGGAAUUACUGGGCGUAAAGCGCGCGUAGGCGGUUACUCAAGUCAGAGGUGAAAGCCCGGGGCUCAACCCCGGAACUGCCUUUGAAACCAGGUGACUAGAAUCUUGGAGAGGUCAGUGGAAUUCCGAGUGUAGAGGUGAAAUUCGUAGAUAUUCGGAAGAACACCAGUGGCGAAGGCGACUGACUGGACAAGUAUUGACGCUGAGGUGCGAAAGCGUGGGGAGCAAACAGGAUUAGAUACCCCGGUAGUCCCUGUCUCUUAUAC